rnacentral:sRNA from 1 species
UUUGCCAUGGAGGAGAUCAACAGGGACACCCACCUGCUCCCCAGCCUCAGGCUGGGCUUCUCCAUCACCCAUGCAGUGGUGCAGCUGAUGCUUCACUUCCGAUGGUCUUGGGUGAGCGUCCUGGCGCAGGGGGACGACUUUGAGCUGCAGGGCAGGUCUCUGCUCGUCCAGGAGCUGGGCCAGGCUGGGGUCUGCAUUGAGUUCCAACUCCACAUCCCCAAGAGAUGUCUUCUGUGCCCAGAGGAGCAGUACUCAAGCCGCACCAGAGAUGGCUGCCUGCCCAGGACAGAGACCUUCCUGGCCUUUGACGACCCGCUGGGACUCACGCUCGCCUUGGUGGCGCUCAUGCUGGCCAGCCUGGCAGUGCUGGUCCUCAGACUGUUCUGAAGCACCGAGACACACCUGUGGUCAGGGCCAACAACAGAGCUCUCAGCUGCACGCUGCUCACCUCCCUGACCCUCUGUCCCUUGCCUUUCCUUGGUUGUCCCACAGCUGCCACCUGCCUCCUCUACCAGACCACAGUUGCUGUUGUGUUCACCAUGGCUGUCUCUUCCGUCCUGGCCUUCAGGGUCACCAGGUGACAGGGUCUGGGUGUGCCUGGGACCUGGCGCUUCCACCUCGGUGGUCCUUGCUGCUUCCUUGGUGCAGGUUGUUCUCUGUGGCAUCUGGCUGGGCACUUCCCCACCAUUCCCAGAUGGGGACAUGGCCUCAGAGCCCAGCCACAUUGUCAUCCAGUGCUGAGAGGGCUCUGCUGUCGCUUUCUCCUGUGUGCUGGGCUACCUGGGCCUCCUGGCUGGGGGCACCUUCUUUGUAGCCUUCCUGGCCAGGGGUCUGCCAGACGCCUUCAACAAGUCCAAGUUCCUCACCUUCAGCAUGCUGCUGUUCUGCAGCUUCUGGACAACCUUCCUGCCCCUGUACCACAGCGCACAGGGCAAGUCCACUGUGGCCGUGGAGAUCUUUUCCAUCCUGGCUUCCAUGGCAGGGCUGCUGGGUGGCAUCUUUGCCCCAAAUGUUACAUCAUCCUGCUAAAAGCCCGAGCGGAAU